rnacentral:rRNA from 1 species
CCCCUAGAUGUUCUGGGCCGCACGCGCGCUACACUGAACAGUUCAACAAGUCUUAACCUUGGCCGAUAGGUCUGGGUAAUCUUUGAACGCUGUUCGUGAUUGGGAUAGACCUUUGCAAUUAUGGGUCUUCAACGAGGAAUUCCUAGUAAACGCAAGUCAUCAGCUUGCAUUGAUUACGUCCCUGCCCUUUGUACACACCGCCCGUCGCUCCUACCGAUUGAGUGCUCAGGUGAAUAAUUCGGACUGCAGCAGUGUUUGGAUCCCGAACGCUGCAGCGGAAAGUUUAGUGAACCUUAUCACUUAGAGGAAGGAGAAGUCGUAACA